rnacentral:misc_RNA from 1 species
GGGAUAUCACUUAUUAACAAGCUGUCAACCAGAUGAGAUAUCAAAAUCACCGAGGAUAAGAUCUAUGGAUGUGACAUCCCCGGAUUUGACUUAAUUGAACACUCCCUACCCCCACUGCCCUCUGGGCAGGUCAACAAUGUUUUAUCAAAAUUUUUUCUUUCUUUAUCCCUGAAUUUCAGGUGCAAACUUCAAGCCAGGUAGAGAGGGGAAAGAGUUGAGAGGAAAUUGGGAAGGGGAAGAGAGGGAUGGAAGAUGGAGCCCAAUGAAAUUGAGGGGGGUACUAAUGGUGACGUAUGCAA